GACGAACGCUGGCGGCGUGCCUAAUACAUGCAAGUCGAACGCACAGUUUAUACCGUAGCUUGCUACACCAUAGACUGUGAGUUGCGAACGGGUGAGUAACGCGUAGGUAACCUGCCUGGUAGCGGGGGAUAACUAUUGGAAACGAUAGCUAAUACCGCCUAAUAUUAAUUAUUGCAUGAUAAUUAAUUGAAAGGUGCAAUUGCACCACUACCAGAUGGACCUGCGUUGUAUUAGCUAGUAGGUGAGGUAACGGCUCACCUAGGCGACGAUACAUAGCCGACCUGAGAGGGUGAUCGGCCAGACUGGGACGGAGACACGGCCCAGACGCCUACGGGAGGCAGCAGUAGGGAAUCUUCGGCAAGGGACGAAAGUCUGACCGAGCAACGCCGCGGGAGGGAAGAAGGUUGUCGGAUCGGAAAGCUCGGUUGUAAGAGAAGAACGGGUGUGAGAGUGGAAAGUUCACACUGUGACGGCAUCUGACCAGAAAGGGACGGCUAACUACGUG
rnacentral:rRNA from 1 species